rnacentral:tRNA from 1 species
GUUCGUGUAGCUCAGAUGGAUCAGAGCAACUCUUUGACUGAGGGCCGGUCGCGGGUUCGAGUCCCGCCACGCACA